GGUAUGGGCUAGACGACGCUGGCGGCGUGCCUAAUACAUGCAAGUCGAACGAACUCUGGUAUUGAUUGGUGCUUGCAUCAUGAUUUACAUUUGAGUGAGUGGCGAACUGGUGAGUAACACGUGGGAAACCUGCCCAGAAGCGGGGGAUAACACCUGGAAACAGAUGCUAAUACCGCAUAACAACUUGGACCGCAUGGUCCGAGCUUGAAAGAUGGCUUCGGCUAUCACUUUUGGAUGGUCCCGCGGCGUAUUAGCUAGAUGGUGGGGUAACGGCUCACCAUGGCAAUGAUACGUAGCCGACCUGAGAGGGUAAUCGGCCACAUUGGGACUGAGACACGGCCCAAACUCCUACGGGAGGCAGCAGUAGGGAAUCUUCCACAAUGGACGAAAGUCUGAUGGAGCAACGCCGCGUGAGUGAAGAAGGGUUUCGGCUCGUAAAACUCUGUUGUUAAAGAAGAACAUAUCUGAGAGUAACUGUUCAGGUAUUGACGGUAUUUAACCAGAAAGCCACGGCUAACUACGUGCCAGCAGCCGCGGUAAUACGUAGGUGGCAAGCGUUGUCCGGAUUUAUUGGGCGUAAAGCGAGCGCAGGCGGUUUUUUAAGUCUGAUGUGAAAGCCUUCGGCUCAACCGAAGAAGUGCAUCGGAAACUGGGAAACUUGAGUGCAGAAGAGGACAGUGGAACUCCAUGUGUAGCGGUGAAAUGCGUAGAUAUAUGGAAGAACACCAGUGGCGAAGGCGGCUGUCUGGUCUGUAACUGACGCUGAGGCUCGAAAGUAUGGGUAGCAAACAGGAUUAGAUACCCUGGUAGUCCAUACCGUAAACGAUGAAUGCUAAGUGUUGGAAGGGUUUCCGCCCUUCAGUGCUGCAGCUAACGCAUUAAGCAUUCCGCCUGGGGAGUACGGCCGCAAGGCUGAAACUCAAAGGAAUUGACGGGGGCCCGCACAAGCGGUGGAGCAUGUGGUUUAAUUCGAAGCUACGCGAAGAACCUUACCAGGUCUUGACAUACUAUGCAAAUCUAAGAGAUUAGACGUUCCCUUCGGGGACAUGGAUACAGGUGGUGCAUGGUUGUCGUCAGCUCGUGUCGUGAGAUGUUGGGUUAAGUCCCGCAACGAGCGCAACCCUUAUUAUCAGUUGCCAGCAUUAAGUUGGGCACUCUGGUGAGACUGCCGGUGACAAACCGGAGGAAGGUGGGGAUGACGUCAAAUCAUCAUGCCCCUUAUGACCUGGGCUACACACGUGCUACAAUGGAUGGUACAACGAGUUGCGAACUCGCGAGAGUAAGCUAAUCUCUUAAAGCCAUUCUCAGUUCGGAUUGUAGGCUGCAACUCGCCUACAUGAAGUCGGAAUCGCUAGUAAUCGCGGAUCAGCAUGCCGCGGUGAAUACGUUCCCGGGCCUUGUACACACCGCCCGUCACACCAUGAGAGUUUGUAACACCCAAAGUCGGUGGGGUAACCUUUUAGGAACCAGCCGCCUAAGGUGGGACAGAUGAUAGGUAGUGACGCGG
rnacentral:rRNA from 1 species